AUCUAAAUAGUUUAAGUAAAAUGUUGGUUUGUGGUGCCAGUGAUAUAGUUUUUAUUUUGGAUU
rnacentral:tRNA from 1 species